UCCCGGCUCUCAUGAGUUGGUUCUAUCUCUUCAACCUCUCUUCUUAGAACGCUCAAUUUUUCUUCUAGGCGACAAUCUUCAGACUGCAGUAACAGUGGCCAGAAAGUCUGGGAUGGUUUCUGAAAGCCAAAAAGUCAUUCUCAUCGAGGCAAAUGAGACCACUGGGUCCUCGUCAGCAUCGAUAUCUUGGAAAUUAGUAGAAGAGAAGAAACAUGUUUCAUAUGGGAAUCAGGUAUACCUCAAAACAGACGGGCCACAUUUCCUGACUUGUCUCAUGAUGUCGGUGAUGGACAGCUCUGAUGGGCAGAGUGUCAGAGUGACCUAGAGUCCACCGACUUCCCCAGGUGUCUAACAAUAUGAAGUUCAAUGAACCCAAUUAUAUCAGUUUUCCCCACUGUUUCUUCUGUGCUCUAAGGUAUGGGCUUUCCUGAGCGCU
rnacentral:lncRNA from 1 species